rnacentral:tRNA from 1 species
GGGGUAUAGCUCAGCUGGGAGAGCAUCUGCCUUACAAGCAGAGGGUCACAGGUUCGAGCCCUGUUGUUCCC